AAAGGAAAGUAAGAAAGGGAAAAAAAAAAAAAAAAGAAAAGUUCCCACGUGCAGGAUGCGAAACCCGACAAUCUCUGGAUUUCCCUCUCAAAUCUGGACCAAGUCAUGUCCAUGUGAAAUUAAAACCACCUUUGUGUCACAGUGUCACCCAGAACUGCUAACUAAUGAGACAAAACUGGAGAAAUCUCACUCACAUGUCCAUUAUUCCCAGGAGCUCUUACAAGGAACUUGUAUCAACGACCAAAUACGCUGAGGCUGAAAGGAAGAAACUCUCUGGCAACCCUGCGUCUCUGGAGCAGGUAAGGUUAACGUCACUCAGCAGCUGAGGUCCUCCAUGGACACUAAGCCAAGAGGAGGAAGACAUCAAGGAAGUGGCUUUACUGCUCGGGGUGGACAAACCUGCCAACUUCUCUCAGUGCUGCGAAACGGGAACCAUUCUGAUGGAACAUGAAUAUUCUUUCUGCCUUCAAACCAAUUAAAAAUGUGCCUCUGCACUGAUGCUGUGGGCUGAGUCACUGCUGCUGCGUUAUCUGCGGCGAGGAGGCAUAGGAAACACCACCUGGCCCGCGUUCCCUCAUGUGGUUAAGAUGCCAGCAGGUCUCUCCUCCGGGCACGAACAAUAUCACCUCGAGCCUUGCGGCACCCGCACGGCCGUGGAAAUCUAAAGUCAAAACGGUGGAAGGGGCGCUAAAGCACUAACCGG
rnacentral:lncRNA from 1 species